UCCGUUGUAGUCCAGUGGUUAGGAUGUCUGGCUUUCAGCUCACGCGGGAGUGCCCAGGAGACCCGAGAUCAAUCCUCGGCAACGGAA